AAACAAGCUAUGAACGAGACAAAAGGUUUGUUGUUCAAUCUUCAGAGAGCCGGUGUAUGGUGCGAACCGGUAGAUGGCAGCAUUCAUAAUAUCCCUCGAGAGCUCUUACACCGAAUUAAGUAGGUGCAGGCGAUCAUUCACGUUACGAAUAGGACUACAAGUACAAUGUAGGGUGGUACCGCGAUCAUCGCCCCUAUC
rnacentral:ncRNA from 1 species